rnacentral:misc_RNA from 1 species
AAGUCGUAACAAGGUUUCCGUAGGUGAACCUGCGGAAGGAUCAUUAACACGUAUCCACGUAUCAACCAAUCGUGAACUCGUUUUCGCUUCUCCCUGCUGCGGGAAAUUGGACAGGUCGGACAGUUUGAGUGGGACUCUUCGGAGUCGCGGUCCGACCUCAUAGGGACAGCUUCGGUUGUCACGUACAAUUUUCUGCGGUCAGGCUUUUUCUUAUUUUUCGAGGCUCCAUUCAAGCCUUGAUUAGUAGGAGUUUAUUCACAAAUUUCACCCCUUUUUGCUAGUUGACUUUUUUAUGUGGUGUUCGGCGAGAAUUUAUUCUUACUGCGCUCACACGUUUAAUUACUUGAACGUUAAAAAUACAACUCUUAGCAAUGGAUAUCUUGGUUCUC